rnacentral:tRNA from 1 species
GGUUGAUUAGUGUAGUUGGUUAUCACAUCGGAUUUUGAAACGUGUAAAAUUCCGGGGACCCGGGUUCGAAUCCCAGAUCGACCU